GAAAGAACAGAAACUCUUUGUCAUUCCUGCGUGAAUACAGUCUGUGUCAGUCUGUGUUUAAGAACAAGACACAAGAUAUGCUUCAAAUCAUUUAAAAUCGCAGCCCUAAACGCCAACAAUGGAGUCCCAGGUCCGCCAGAACUACAGCCGGGAGUGCGAGGCCGCCAUCAACCGCAUGAUCAACAUGGAGUUUUACGCCUCCUACACCUACCAGUCCAUGGUGAGUAUCCUGCCUGGGGCCGGGAGUUACAGGACUGUUACAGGACCCGGUGCGGGUCCCAGGACCGGAUCUCGCAAGCUGGCCUGUUUUCGGUAGCGAGUAACAGCCCCCCGGGUCUGUUUCGGCUGGCGAGGGCUGUCAAGAGGCUCUUGAGCCGGGUCCGGUCCGGUCGGGGAGGGCAGGGGGGGUGGUUUAUUCCGCUGUGCGCCCCUGUGCUCUGUGGGGCUGCACUGGCGUCGCCUAGACGAGAUCAGUAACGCACACGGGGACGAAGUCCGCUGAAUCGCCGUAAAUCUCCACUUCUGCGCUGAGCAGUGCGCGGCACGACCGGGACUCGAUGAGCUCACUCGUCCUAAUGACUGUUAUCAGUGGUGUUCAGGGCGCCACUGGCCCUGCCUCUGUAUCGGGGGUGUCCAGCCAGGCUGGGGAGAGACACACCCCUCUCCUCUCCAGCGCAGGUCGGGGAGACGAGACUCGCGAUCAAGCUGGCCUCUGGAGGACUUUGUCCCCGCAGGUGUGAUGACAGAGCAGCUCCUCUCUGAUCCCAGUGGGACUGUAGCCAGGGCUUGAGCGCUCGCUUACACACACACACAGCGCAUCUCAGCUGUGUGAACACAGGGGCACGGAGCUCUACAGAGGACAGAGGGGGCGUCGGUCUGGGGCUGUUCUGUCUGCUGUUGCUCUGUCGACCUCGCACCCUGACUGAGCUCUGUCCCAACAGCAGCCCUGUGCCUCUUGUUGUGUCUAACCACAGAUUACAGGCUCUGGGGUUUGU
rnacentral:lncRNA from 1 species